rnacentral:misc_RNA from 1 species
AAGUCGUAACAAGGUUUCCGUAGGUGAACCUGCGGAAGGAUCAUUAAAACGUAUCCAAACGUUAACCAACUGUGAACUCGUUUCUCCCUUGAUUUCUUGCGAAAUUGGAGCUGUGAAUGACAUUGAGUGGGAUCCCUUCAACAAGGAUCGGUCAUCUGCAGUCACUGAUAUACUUGUAUAUCGACAAGAGUAGUGAAGUCAAGGCAAUUCUCUCUGCUUUCAUUCUCCAUUCAAGGGUGGAGCGGAGGGGUCAUUUACAUUAACCAUAAUCACCCCCUUUUUGCUAGUUGACUUUUUUAAUGUUGGUGUUUACGAAAGUAUUCAUCACACGUUUCAUUAUUUGAACGUAAAAUACAACUCUUAGCAAUGGAUAUCUUGGUUCUC